CCGUAGCCCAAGAGAUCGGGAUAACACCUGGAAACAGAUGCUAAUACCGGAUAACAACAGAUGAUGCCUAUCAACUGUUUAAAAGAUGGUUCUGCUAUCACUCUUGGAUGGACCUGCGGUGCAUUAGCUAGUUGGUAGGGUAACGGCCUACCAAGGCGAUGAUGCAUAGCCGAGUUGAGAGACUGAUCGGCCACAUUGGGACUGAUACACGGCCCAAACUCCUACGGGAGGCAGCAGCC
rnacentral:rRNA from 1 species